AGGAUUAACGCUGGCGGCGUGCCUAACACAUGCAAGUCGAACGAGGUAGCAAUACCUAGUGGCAGACGGGUGAGUAACGCGUGGUCAACCGACCGUUGAGAGGGGGAUAACUAGCCGAAAGGCUAGCUAAUACCGCAUACGUCUCCGAGGGGCAUCCUUCGGCGAUAAAAGGAGCAAUCCGCUCGAUGACGGGACCGCGUCCCAUUAGCUAGAUGGUGGGGUAACGGCCUACCAUGGCACCGAUGGUAGCUGGUUUGAGAGAGCGACCAGCCACACUGGGACUGAGACACGGCCCAGACUCCUACGGGAGGCAGCAGUGAGGAAUUUUCCGCAAUGGGCGAAAAGCCUGACGGAGCGACGCCGCGUGUGGGAAGAAGGCCUUAGGGUCGUAAACCACUGUCGAAGGGGACGAUAAUGACGGUACCCUUGGAGGAAGCCCCGGCUAACUACGUGCCAGCAGCCGC
rnacentral:rRNA from 1 species